rnacentral:rRNA from 1 species
GUGUCAGCAGCCGCGGUAAUACGUAGGGUGCGAGCGUUGUCCGGAAUUACUGGGCGUAAAGAGUUCGUAGGCGGUUUGUCGCGUCGUUUGUGAAAACCCGGGGCUCAACUUCGGGCUUGCAGGCGAUACGGGCAGACUUGAGUGUUUCAGGGGAGACUGGAAUUCCUGGUGUAGCGGUGAAAUGCGCAGAUAUCAGGAGGAACACCGGUGGCGAAGGCGGGUCUCUGGGAAACAACUGACGCUGAGGAACGAAAGCGUGGGUAGCAAACAGGAUUAGAUACCCUGGUAGUCCACGCCGUAAACGGUGGGCGCUAGGUGUGGGUUCCUUCCACGGGAUCUGUGCCGUAGCUAACGCAUUAAGCGCCCCGCCUGGGGAGUACGGCCGCAAGGCUAAA